rnacentral:lncRNA from 1 species
AUGGUUGAGUCCACUUGAUCUCCUACCAUUUCUACCAUUUAGGGUCUGAGACUGGUUCUGCUCAGUACUUUGUUCUGGAUACCUUUAGUGCUGUAUCAAAGCCUUCCUUAGUUCUAUUCCUGCUUCCCACAUUUUCUGAUUCAAUGUGAUUGAGUUUUCUAAGAACUUUUCUUCCUUCCUUUUGAAGCUUUCAAAGAUUUUAAAAAGCGCUCUGGUGUGUUCAGGAAUAGUCAUGCAGAACGAUGAACUGUCUUUGUUUUAUGGCUGAACAACUUCCCUUCCUGGAGCAUCUCAGGGGGAACAUAUUUAACUGAUGCCAUCAUCAACUUGUCUCUUUUCAUCCUCCUCACCCUUUUAUGAAUGUCAUGAGUUUGAAUAUUUCACAAAUAUCCUGGUGGUUUUAUUUUCCUAAAAAUAUUUGUGGAUCUUUAAAAAGUGGGCAAAACUGAGAAAACAAGCUAUAGCAGCCACAUUUUAUGUAUGUGUGUGGUCCUUACUCUAUGUAUCCUGCUAUAAUUUUUAUUUCUCCAAUUGAUUCUUUAGCUUGGCUAGAAUUUAGGUCUGUCAGAAAACAGUGAGCUUCAUGAAUUCCAAGUUCAUGGUCAAAGCACUCAUCCUCAGGAGAAAAUAACAAAGAUGUAUACAUGUGAUGCCAGAACACUGCUAAGUGGUAGUGGUUGUGGUGGGGGGAUAACUACACCUGGGUUAGGUGUACACUGAUAAAACCAAAUAAUUGAGCAAACUGUCAAUACCUCUUAUGUAAAAUUCUUUCAUUCUUUGUCUUAAUUAUCAUUCUUACUAGGUUGUUAAUAUGAAUUAUUAUAGUAAUCUCUCCUUCCUCUUUGUUCUGUCAUGGAGACCUGGCCUUCAAGUUGUAUGUUUUUCUUUUCCAUACUUUGCUUGUCUGACCUAUUUUGUCACAAUGAGUGGUGCCUCCAACAUAGUUCAUGUUCAAGGGAUGUGUCUCAUUUCUUCCUCCAUCUCACUCUCACUUGUUUGAUAGUUUUAUCACCAAAGUUCCUGCCAUCUGUUUUGGUUUUCCAAAGCCAUUUUUUUCUUUUUAUAUUAUUUUCUCCUGAAACUAAGUUUUUUCUCUCUCUUUCCUCCAUAAUCUUUGUUCUUCCUUUCAUCCCUUUUCUUCCUUUAUUUUCUUCACUUUCUGCCCUUAUCUGGUCACUGAUAUACAAAGCUCAAAGGCCUCUUGCCUGUAUUAGUGUUUUAUCUAUCUGUCCAUCUAUUUGUCUUUAAAAUUUUUGAAGCAAGGGAAAGGAAAAAAGUGACUGUUUCUAUAAUUAACAAGAUUUACUCUUCAAAACUCUCAAAUACUCAAGAAUUUAAAGACUCAUGAGGGUCCUCAAGUCAAUAGGCCACAGAGAAAAAAAAAUUAUACCCAUGAUAGGUUGAGUUUUGUAGAAAAUGUAUUAUUCAGUUCUUGGCUAGUGACACUAGUGAAUUUGUGAAUUAGCUUUGGCCUUCCUUUGUAUAAAGUUUAGAACAUAUUAAUAUAUAUCUUUUUUAGGGCUGCACCUGCGGCAUAUGGAGGUUCCCAGGCUAGGGGUCUAAUUGGAACUACAGCUGCUGGCCUGUGCCACAGCCACAGCAAUACCAGGUCUGAGCCAUGUCUGCGACCUACACCACAGCUCAUGGCAAUGCUGGAUCCUUAACCCACCGAGCAAGGCCAGGGAUUGAACCUGCAACCUUAUGGUUCCUAGUCAGAUUUGUUUCUGUCUGUGCCAUGACGGGAACUCCCAUGUGAGAUAUUUUCUACAUAUAAUGAUUACUGGAGGCCUGUCCAUGGCUCAGACAGUGGAGGAUGGGCCUUUCAUUUUUGGA